AACAAACGCUGGCGGCGUGCCUAAUACAUGCAAGUCGAACGGGGAAAGCUUUCGGGUGAGUACUAGUGGCGCACGGGUGAGUAACGCGUGGAUAAUCUGCCCUCGAAUGGGGAAUAACUAGUCGAAAGAUUAGCUAAUACCGCAUAAGACCACGACUACUGAGGUAGUUGGGGUCAAAGGAGCAAUUCGUUUGAGGAUGAGUCCGCGUAAGAUUAGCUAGUUGGUGAGGUAAUGGCUCACCAAGGCGAUGAUCUUUAACUGGUCUGAGAGGAUGAUCAGUCACACUGGAACUGAGACACGGUCCAGACCCCUACGGGAGGCAGCAGUAGGGAAUAUUGGACAAUGGGGGCAACCCUGAUCCAGCGACGCCGCGUGAGCGAUGAAGGCCUUCGGGUCGUAAAUCUCUGUUGUAAGGGAAAAAGUUCUGAUUGUACCUUACGAGAAAGGAUCGGCUAACUUCGUGCCAGCAGCCGCCGUAA
rnacentral:rRNA from 1 species